GAUGAACGCUGGCGGCGUGCCUAAUACAUGCAAGUCGAGCGAACGGACGAGAAGCUUGCUUCUCUGAUGUUAGCGGCGGACGGGUGAGUAACACGUGGAUAACCUACCUAUAAGACUGGGAUAAUUUCGGGAAACCGGAGCUAAUACCGGAUAAUAUUUUGAACCGCAUGGUUCAAAAGUGAAAGACGGUCUUGCUGUCACUUAUAGAUGGAUCCGCGCUGCAUUAGCUAGUUGGUAAGGUAACGGCUUACCAAGGCAACGAUGCGUAGCGGACCUGAGAGGGUGAUCGGCCACACUGGAACUGAGACACGGUCCAGACUCCUACGGGAGGCAGCAGUAGGGAAUCUUCCGCAAUGGGCGAAAGCCUGACGGAGCAACGCCGCGUGAGUGAUGAAGGUCUUCGGAUCGUAAAACUCUGUUAUUAGGGAAGAACAUAUGUGUAAGUAACUGUGCACAUCUUGACGGUACCUAAUCAGAAAGCCACGGCUAACUACGUG
rnacentral:rRNA from 1 species